CUUCUCAGCCUUGUCCAAUUUGCCUUCUUUGCAUAAGCCAUAUGCCCUAAUAUUGUCACAUACAGUGCACUUAUUGAUGGUUUCUGUAAGGGAGGCCAGUUGGACAAGGCUAAGAAG
rnacentral:pre_miRNA from 1 species